rnacentral:lncRNA from 1 species
GCAAGUAUAUAUAACAUAAUUAACCGUUUACAAUUUGAAUUAUUAUUUGACUUUCAAAGCGAUAGUAUGUAUAAAGGCACUGUAUUUAAAUGUUGAUAACAAAAUUUGAUUUUUGGGGAUUAUCCCAUACGAUAUUAAACAGAAGUUUCUAUAACCUUAAGAACUCCGAACAUCAGGACCAUCUUGCGCGACGCUAUUCGGAUUUAUAUUACUUUGGAACGUUUUUUUUAAACCAUAGUGAUUGAAUUUUAAAUUCACGUUAGAACUUAUUUUUGGCGUAAUUGUAAAAUUGAAGAUAAACAUUUUAUUAACAAAGACUAAAAGUGUAGCAUGAUACUUUGUGAUUUGGCAUUGUAAUACAACAUUAUUCUUUUCCUUGGCCUUGCAGUUAUAUGUAGAUUGUUUAGCGCCGAAAAGUCAUAUUUAAUCCAGGCAAACCCCGCAAGAGAUAUAAAUGUUAUUAAGUGAACACCUCUUAAUAUCUCCCUGUGUGAAAGGAAAUCAUUGUGUUUAGUACUUCCCUUCAGUAUAGAACUAUGCAACUCUUUGCGUAUACAUAAAUCUUAUGUUCUGUAUCUAGAGGCUUUAUUUGUCUCUUUAACGUUUAAGAAUUGAAAUUUGCAGUUGCAAAAAUUAACAUAAGAUUUUUAAAAUUGAAAUUUAAUGAAAUUGCUAAUUAAAGCCGGAAAUAUGUAAAAGAAACAACAACCCGACCAAAGACCAAUUGACAUGAUUGAUCAAUAGUUUCUCAGAAAGCUUUGUUUACAAUUUGAAUUUACGUUUUUUUGUUACUGGUAGUAUCCUACAAUCAUGACCUAUAUAUAUGAUAUCGAAAUUUAAUAUCACUAAUUGUACAUGACAUAAUACAACUUAUUCAGUUGAUUUUUAG